rnacentral:rRNA from 1 species
CCUACGGGAGGCAGCAGUGAGGAAUAUUGGUCAAUGGACGAGAGUCUGAACCAGCCAAGUAGCGUGAAGGAUGACUGCCCUAUGGGUUGUAAACUUCUUUUAUAUGGGAAUAAAAUGUUCCACGUGUGGGAUUUUGUAUGUACCAUAUGAAUAAGGAUCGGCUAACUCCGUGCCAGCAGCCGCGGUAAUAUGGAGGGUCCGAGCGUUAUCCGGAUUUAUUGGGUUUAAAGGGAGCGUAGGUGGAUUGUUAAGUCAGUUGUGAAAGUUUGCGGCUCAACCGUAAAAUUGCAGUUGAAACUGGCAGUCUUGAGUACAGGAGAGGUGGGCGGAAUUCGUGGUGUAGCGGUGAAAUGCUUAGAUAUCACGAAGAACUCCGAUUGCGAAGGCAGUUCACUGGACUGCAACUGACACUGAGGCUCGAAAGUGUGGGUAUCAAACAGGAUUAGAUACCCCUGUAGUC